rnacentral:lncRNA from 1 species
UUCAUUGCUUAUUUAAAUCAUUGGAUUUAUAAAGUAACUUGUUCUAUUAACCAUCAUGAACCAUUUUAUAAUGGUUAUCAAUCAUUAAGAUUCAUGAUCUGAUCUGACUCAUUGCUAGAGAGUUUAUUAAGAGUGUUUAUCUCCAAUAGAGGUAAAAAAUGGUUACUAGUGCAAUUGAUCUUAAUAUUAUCAUUUAUGUGAAAGUCCGUUUUCAGCAACUUAAAAAGUUUAUAAAGACCACAACAUCACAGUGACACCCCCUAGGUGACACCCAAGUAAUCAAAAUUUGAUCAUCAAUCAUAGAGCAAGGUUAUAUAGCAGUUUAAAAAGUUUGCAAAAAUGUACUGAAUAGUACUGAUAUUAUAUUGGGAAAAUGUUUUUGUAGUCAGAUUAAUCAAAAUGCAACCUCAUCUCAAUACAAAUGUCACAGUAUUGUUGUUUAGAAGGCUUUCAAAAUUUCUGCAAUUCAAUUCUAGAAAUGUUAUGGUAUAGUCGUUUAUAUAUAAAAAAAAAACUUUUAGGUUUAUAAUUUCAUGCCUAGAACGUAAAAAGCUGCUAAAACCUGCAUUAAGUGCAAAGUUGUCUUUUACAUUGAACAUCCUUUUUAGUACAUCUAUCAGUAUCCACAAAUCUAUUUUGCUUCAAGUUGAAUUAUUAUUCCUAUUUUUAAUUCUUGUUUUAAAUUUUAGCCCUAUAUGGCUCUGUACCUCCUUUACAUCAGUUAAUUUAUUUGAAAGGUUUACUGUAAGCUAUAGUUCCAGUUCGAGGAGCCUAAAAGUUUAGCGUGUGGGCAGAAGAGGUGAAAGAAAAAGAGAGAGCAAUUAGUAGCGCACAAAAUGCAUGUAUGGAAAGGCCUAUUUACUGAAUUUUAGUUUGUCAAACCAUCAAAGAAGUUCUCCUUGAUGUUAUAAAUUGUUUAACAAGGAUGUUCAUAUAUCUCCAACAACAAAUGAUAUUUACCAUGAUUGAUAGUAAGAAUUGAAGUACAAACUAACUGUUUAAGCAAAAACAAAAAUAUAUAAGUAAAACUCAAAUUAAGUUUCACUUUUUGAAAUGUUUUGAGAAACUUAGUAAGUUAAAAUUUUUCUGUCAUAAAAAAUAAAUUGUCUUUUAGAUAAGUAUUUAGUUUUUGUGCUUUUAGGCUGUAUUUCAAUGGUUUAUUUGUUUUAAAAUAAAAUUAUUUGCAACAUCUCUACAGGGUGCACAGAGGGUGGGGGAUCUGGGUCAGUUAACCCCGGGCAUCACGUUUAUGGGGGGCAUCAUCAGAUGACAAAAAAAAUUAAUAGUAUGCCAAAUAAAAAAUUGAAAACAUCCUGUAAUGAAAUGAAAAAUGUUUACUUUGUUAUUAUAUUUAAAUUUUUGAUUUUGUUUUGAUUCAAUCUGAUUAAACCGAUUACUGAUUUCUAAGAUCAUUUUUACAGUAGAUGACUUUCUAUUUAGAGACCACGUGUUUUUUCUUUCUUUCAGAAAUCAGUGUUUUCUUUCUAUGAUAUGCCCUCUGAAUAGCUCUUCAAACCAUGCAAGAAAACUACAAACUACACGUAACGUUAUCGUGAACAAUAGUAAAAUGAAUAGUAAAAACAUUUUUUUAACUUUUUUAACUAUUUUUUAUUUAACUUUUAUUUCCGUAUAUUUAAUAAAUUAUUACAACUAAUCAUAUAAUUUUAAAUGGUCGUAGUUUCUCCUAUCAACUUUUUUAACUAAGUUAAGUUUAACGCUAUGGAUUUCAUUCAAUUCGUGCGAGAAUUCCUCAUGCAAGAAUUCCUCGUGCAUAAUGAAUCUCAACUAUUGCAACUUAUUAUUGAUUGUCAAAGAGAGUUUUACAAAUAAUUGUCAAAAGAGAAUUAUUUGUGGUGCAAUUAUUAUUUUCCUAAGAGAAUUUUUUAAGUAGAAAUUGCUACAGCAAUUAUUAUACUACAUAAAUAGAACUAUAGUUCUAUAGUUUGUGCUUUAAAUAUAAAAUGAAAAGCAAUCAGUCUACAACCAACUCUUCAACCAGACGGAAGCUGUUAUUAGGCGCAACAGGACGAAAAAAGAAGAGAGUAAAAAAAGUUGCUGAAGAAAAAAGCUAGCGAACUCUUAAAGAUCUUGGAUAAAGGCUAGUUGUAAAAAUUGACAAUAGUAAAAAAGAGUCUCAGCACCAACUUCAAGUAGACCUUUCAUCAUUUUGUAUAGUAAUCUGAUAACAUUCCUGCUUGAUUGUUUUUAAUGUCUAAUAAUACAUUGGUGAUAUAUUCAAAUAUAUUUCUUUUUAUAGGCUUUAAGAGUUGAAUCUGAUUCUGAAAGCAGUAGUGGUCCAACACAUCUCUCUUACAAAUCACAACUAUUGUAUAAGGAUAGUUGGAGUGUUAGUUCAGUGCAUUCUGUAUGCCAGAGCCUAGUCAGUUCUUCUGAUAAUCAUUUAAAUGAAGAUCAAGAGAUGUAUGCUGUAACCGACAGUGAAACUGACCAGGUCAGGCUAACUGAAGCUACCAAGAACUAUCAAGCAAACCUCAUCAAAAAGAUGACAUUCCUGCAGUUUAUAAAUAUUUCAAGAAGUGGAUAGUGAAGACCAUGGCAUAGACAAGAUGGAUUCUACUCCAGCCAUUUUAACUAAUCACAUAUCUAACGACCCAGCUCUUUAAACUGUUUUAUCAAAUAAAGAAAGAGAUACCAUGGUUUUGAUAGGCCCUCCUUUAAGUCAUGCAGACCUUCCAAGGGAUUCAAGGAACCACAUCUUUCCAACAUCAGUAUUUACCGAAGUUUUACAAAAUGGAGAGAAACUAAAAAGAGACUGCCUUGUAUGGAAUGAAUCGGCAGCCGCCCUUUUCUGCUUCUCUUGUUCUCUUUUUGGAUCACCUUCUGACACACAUAAGAACAACAUGUCGCUGUUGUUAUUCUAAAGUGGUAUCAAAUACAAUUGGAGGAAACUAGUUGGAAAAAUCAGGUCUCAUCAAUCGUGUAGCCUCCAUCGCUAAAUGUAUUUAGAUUGGAAAGCAGCACUAAACAACAUGCACAACCAUAUAAGGAUUGAUUUAAGUCUGGAGAAAGUUAUUGCAAACGAAACUGGGCGCUGAAAAGAUAUUUUCCGUUGCAUCAUUUAAGUUACCUUAUUCCUUGCAUCAAGAAAUCUCGCAUUCAGAGGAUCUAAUCACAAGGUCUAUCAGGAUGGAAACAGCAGUUUUCUUGGCGCUUUAGAGUUGGUUGCUGAACACAACAAGACACUUGCAGAUCACUUCAAAGCAGUUGCUAAAAAAGAAAAAGAAGGUAAUCGUACACAGACCCACUAUUUAUCUUGGUGUUCGCAAAAUGAGUUUAUUGGAGAGUGUGGGAAAUUGGUGAAACUUGAGGCUUGUUUGCUGUGAAAGAAAUGCAUCAGGCCAUCUACUACACUAUCAUAACUGACAGAACACCGGAACGUUCACACAGUAAACAGAUCUGCUUCCUUUUUCGUUUCUUUCGCCUUAGUGAGGAAAGGUAAUGGGAGCAGCAGUACCAAUUUUUAAAACUAGAAGAAAUGGAAAGCAGGAGUCGACAUUGCCAAUCUGAUUCUUACUGUUCUACAUAAAAAUGGACUUGACAAAAAAAAUUGUCAAGGUCAAGGAUUUGAUAAUGGUUCAGUUAUGGAUGAAACCUAUAAAGGCGUUCAAGCCUUGAUUAAACAGAAGAAUUCACAAGAAGUCUAUCUACCGCUCAUAGCCUCAAUUUAUGUAGGGUUCACACUGUGGAACCAUCUGUUCUGGGUAAAUCAUACUUUGGAAAUGUCCAGCCUUUAUACAAUAUUUUCAGCAAAAACCCCACACGCUGGAAAAUUUUUCAGGAUCUUGCUGGCCUUUCUUUACACCAAACUUCAUGAACAAGAUGGACCCCUUAAAAUGAAUCUAUAAAGCCACUUUCAAAGAGACCGAGAGAGAUAAUCAAAUUGUUUACAAAACUGAAAGAAAUGGAUCUCAAUGUUGACGUUUUUAAUAUAGUACGUUCUCUUCUCAAGUAGAUAAAGUCCUUUGAGUUUUUCAUUUUUACUACCUUCUGGUUCAAAACUUUGACAGCUGUGAAAAAUGCUAGCAUCCUUUUUCGAUCCCGCAGCAUCACUUGGAUGACGAGAUGAAACUUAUAGAGGGAUUGAUUGAAGAUUUAAUGCGAAUUCGUUCCUCCUGGGAUGCCAUCUUGAACAAGUCAAAAGAAGUAGCUACUAAACUUGGUUUCAAAACUGAUUUUGUUGAAAAAAGAAGAAGGAAAAUAAAAACGUUUCUCAACGAACCUAACAACGCGUCUCAUUAUCAAAAUGAUGCAUCAAAAGCAUUUGAACUCGUAGUAUUCAACUCUGUAUUAGAUACCUUCAUCCAUCAGAUUACAGAGAGAUUUAAAGCUCUGAAACUGCAGUGUAGAUUAUUUUCCUUCAUCUGGUCUACACCUGACAUCAAUUUGGACUUAACAAAUAGACAAGAAACUAAAGUUAAAGAUCUCAUACUUCUGUAUCCAAAUGAUCUUAGUGAAGACGAGUUUAUUGAUGAGUUCUGCCUCUUUUCAUCUGUUUGACACCAUCUACUGACAAAUGAUCGGCCCUUAGAUCUUCUGAAUAGCAUUUAUGCAAAGGGAUUUGAAGAAAAUUUCUCCCAUAUAUGCAUCUAACUUUGUAUCUUUCUUACUUUGCCAAUAUCUAAUGCUAAAGGUGAGAGAUCUUUUAGCAAGUUAGCUCUCGUCAAGAACUCUCUAAGAGCUACCAUGGGACAGGAUUGUCUAAACGACUAUCUUAUCCUUUUAAUUGAAACAGAUCUUGUGAAGAAAGUGAAUUGCGAUGCUGUAACUUCCAACUUUGCUAUUAGAAAAGCUUGUAAAGUCUGGGUAUAACGUCAGAAAAACUUGAUACCAAAUUCAGAAAUGUUUUUUUUCUUUGUUGUGUUUAAUUGUUUGAUUGUGAAAUUCGUCUUAUAUACAGAAUUUUUAAAAUAUUUUGUGAAUACUAGAAUAAAUAGCUUUAUUUUUCUUAUUAUUUUUAUUUGGUGGAGGUAUGAUGGGGGCAUCCAGUAAAUUUUUUUAAUAAUAUACUCUGGCCACCAUGAAGUCUCUGUGCACCCCUGCAUCUCUAUCUGUUCGCAUCUGUUACUUUUUUUUCUUCAAAUCCCUUCGCAUAAAUAAAAAAUUCUUGUUGAAUGAA